UUUGAGGAGGAUCCAGAGAGGUUUCAGGAGCUUAUGGAAAGACUAUGGUCGAGGAUGAUUUGAUUCCACUCUGAUUCUGUGGGUCUGAGGUGACUGGUGAGGCCAAUGUGGGAACUGCAGCCUCUUCUACAAAUGGGACAGGAAGUACUUACAUUGCCAGGAUGCAUGAC